rnacentral:rRNA from 1 species
GAUGAACGCUGGCGGCGUGCCUAAUACAUGCAAGUCGAGCGAAAGGACGAGAAGCUCGCUCCUCUGAUGUUAGCGGCGGACGGGCGAGUAACACGUGGAUAACCAACCUAUAAGACUGGGAUAACUACGGGGAACCGGAGCUAACACCGGCCGAUAUUAUGCACCGCAUGGUACAAAAGUGAAAGAAGGUCUUGCUGCGACUUAUAGAUGGAACCGGGCUGCAUUAGCUAGUUGGUAAGGUAAGGGCCUACAAAGGCAACGAUGCGAAGCGUACCGGUGAGGGGGGUAAGGCACACUGCAACUGAGCCGCGGUCCGGACCCCUACGGGAGGCAGCAGUACGGAAUCUUCCGCUAUGGGCGAAAGCCUGGCGGAGCCACGCCGCGUGAGGUAUGAGGUGCUUCGGAUCGUAAAUCUCUGUUAUUAGGGAAGAGCAUAUGUGUAAGGAACGGUGCACAUCUUGACGGUACCUAAUCAGAAAGCCCCGGCUAACUCCGUG